CCAGCUUGCUGGGUGGAUUAGUGGCGAACGGGUGAGUAACACGUGAGCAACCUGCCCCUGACUCUGGGAUAAGCGCUGGAAACGGCGUCUAAUACUGGAUACGAACAAGAAUCGCAUGGUUACUUGUUGGAAAGAUUUUUUGGUUGGGGAUGGGCUCGCGGCCUAUCAGCUUGUUGGUGAGGUAAUGGCUCACCAAGGCGUCGACGGGUAGCCGGCCUGAGAGGGUGACCGGCCACACUGGGACUGAGACACGGCCCAGACUCCUACGGGAGGCAGCAGUGGGGAAUAUUGCACAAUGGGCGGAAGCCUGAUGCAGCAACGCCGCGUGAGGGAUGACGGCCUUCGGGUUGUAAACCUCUUUUAGCAGGGAAGAAGCGAGAGUGACGGUACCUGCAGAAAAAGCGCCGGCUAACUACGUGCCAGCAGCCGCGGUAAUACGUAGGGCGCAAGCGUUAUCCGGAAUUAUUGGGCGUAAAGAGCUCGUAGGCGGUUUGUCGCGUCUGCUGUGAAAUCCCGAGGCUCAACCUCGGGCCUGCAGUGGGUACGGGCAGACUAGAGUGCGGUAGGGGAGAUUGGAAUUCCUGGUGUAGCGGUGGAAUGCGCAGAUAUCAGGAGGAACACCGAUGGCGAAGGCAGAUCUCUGGGCCGUAACUGACGCUGAGGAGCGAAAGGGUGGGGAGCAAACAGGCUUAGAUACCCUGGUAGUCCACCCCGUAAACGUUGGGAACUAGUUGUGGGGU
rnacentral:rRNA from 1 species